GUAAGAACCGGGAGAUCUUGUGAGCGCGUGCGUCUGAUGUUGCUAAAAAUCUUCUUGGUGGCACUAGGUGGCACAACCACCACUAAAUUGAAAGAAGUACUAGUUUGGCGGGAAUUAUUUUAGCGGAAUGAACAGUUGGCGCGCUAAAGUGAAUCCAAGCAUAACUCUAAAGUGAUUUGGCAAAAAGCUAUGAUCAGGAUGUGGGUGUUGUUUGGAUUCAUGAUCCUGCUGAUACUUGCCGUAGGUUCUUGUACAGAAUGCAAAAAGGUGGAUGUAAUUGAGGGGGGAAAUGCUAGCCUACCAUUCACAACUUCUGGGCUGACUUUUUUCUAUGAAAUCCAUUGUGAAGAGAGGACAAAGACUAAGAUCGGUCAAUACUGUGGCCCUGCUGAUAACUGCAGCAACCAGAGUACAACUGGAGUUUUAAUCGAGUCUGGCCAUCUAAUAGUUCAUAAUGUCACCUACAACAGAUGCUACAGUGUCAUUCCAGAAAAAAACACACCAGGAAAAGAGACAUGUUAUAAUAUUACUGUCAACAAAAUACACACUAAAGUCAGCCCACCCAAUGAAUACACAAAUAUUAUUAUUAUUUGUGUUUCUGUUGCUGCUGUUGUUGUUGCUGUGAUCUUGUGUGUCAUCAUCACUGUCUGGAACAAAUGUAAAAGCUACAUACCAGUGAAUGCACAAGUUGCUCCAGUGUGAUGCUGGCAAUACUGUCUCAUGAAGAAAUCAUCAUGGAAAAACUAGAUUCAGCCAACUGACUUCUUACAACAAUGAAUGCACCUCAACUUUAGAUGGCUGCUUCACCUUCCAUGGAUUCCAUCUAGUCACUUUGUAACUUUAUUGACCUCAUGUCUACAAUGAAGGAUUGAAAUGAAGGGUAACAUCUGUUUGGUGUCUGUGACUUAACUUAUGAAAGUGAAUAUUUUUUGUUUUCUCA